rnacentral:lncRNA from 1 species
UGGCUUGUGCCCAGACAGGAGGGAGGAAGGUGGCCGAUGAUGAAGUGGAGAUAGAAAGAGUGGCAGCAGUAUUUUGAUAUUUAUCCUAAAAGAACGCAAACUCUUUGAGAGUUCUAAGCUCGUGAUGCACUGAGACACGUGCAUUUUUAAACGAUUACUCUUGAACGCCUGGGGGCCCCUUCGCAAAUCCAUUCUCUGGCCUAGACAACACUCAAACUCCCUUAAAAGUCAUUCACCGAUGCGGCCCAACUUAAAGCAAAAAAAAAAAAAAAAAAAAGAAGCUUCAAGCUGAAGUCUACGUCAAGGGAAAAGCAAACACUCUGAAAAAAGGUAGUUUAAAGAGACGGCAACCACUUAAUAAGCGACCAAUGAAUUUAAUCUAUAUGUAAAUAUGGAGAAUAGAGCUUACAGCUGCUUCUCGCUUACAAAUAACUUUUAAAUAGAUAUGUCAUUUAAAGCGCACGGCCAUUAACAUUUAAGAAGGACAGAAACGUAAUUACAUCCUAAGAGGUACAAAUAAAAUACGAGCUUGAUUCAAGGCUUUGGUGCCCACGCAGAUUUGGAUGUCCUGAAGCGCCAUCCAUCCCGUCACAACACACUUUCUUCCCACAUCAAUUAGAAGAUGACUUCCUGAGUGCAUUUUUGGUUCCGUUUUUUAAGCCAUUAAAUGGCUUCUAAUUCCUAACUUUCUUUACUACCGGCUUGAGAGACGCCACAGGAUCUGGGAGACACUGAAAAAACCUCCAAGGUUUAAAAAGCUGCCGCGUUCCGGGCGCCCGAAGGAAUUUAGCUUUAGCCGAGUAAAGACAUCUUGAAACAGAAUUUGCUACGCAGAACUCAAUAGUGCCCCACUGCAGAUUAAGAUACGUUGCCUGCGGCUACUGUAUUGGACAACACAGCUCCAGAUCUUCAAUCCUAAACCCAGGAAGCAAGACACUGUUAACUAAUCGAGACUCUUGCCCUGAUUUAGAAGGAUGGUUUGGACAUCGAGAAAAGGAGCUCUGAAAAGAAAUGUGAUAGGAAACAAACAGUUGGUGUUAGGAACUAAGCCACUUGGCACAUAAAAUCUUCGUUUUCAUUUGAGGAUCACAUUGGGAGACUACCAAUCUCUAAAAUGUGUCUGUGUAAAUGAAACAGCAUCCUCUCUUCAGUUUGCGCUUCUGAAAAACCAGAUUCCAGGGGUACUGGGAGGCAGAUAAACU